CCAUGAACCACGAGCAGGGAGACAUGUAUGCUCAUUCAUGGCCAUGCAUAGCCGCCAUUGCGACUACGCCAAGCUUCUGCAAGUUCAAUUUGACGACUGUAUCAGUAAACAUUUUGGUGUCUUCUCCAGUAUUCCCUUGCGCUCUUGAUGAAAUGCUUGUAUUUCUGGGGAUUAUCGAAGCGCCGGACGAACGGCCAUACGACGUUUGCUGGUGCUUCGAUCCGCUGUGUUAUGAGUGAAGUGCAAGUGUUUGAUAAAUCCUCAAAGGUAUGGUAGUUUCGAAUCUAUGGCUCUAACUCAACGAAUUCUUCUUGUUUAAGUCCAUGAGGAACUUGACAAUUAGUACGAGCCAUGAUUGUGAUAAGAAAAUAUUGUAUAGUUUCUAGUUUGGUUUCAAUUUGAAGAAUAAUAAGUAAGACUAAUAUAACAAAUUAGAGAAGUCAGCUUUCUUUCAUUUGUCUUGGAAAUAGACAGAGAAAAAAAAAAGUACUAGUAAUGGAGGAUAUGGGGCUUGGUUUGUUUAAUUUAUUUACCUUUUCAACUUUUUUUUUUUAUUAUUAUUAUUAUUUGGAUAAAUUUUUUUUGACAAA